UACGAAGGGGGCUAGCGUUGCUCGGAAUUACUGGGCGUAAAGCGCACGUAGGCGGCUCUUUAAGUCGGGGGUGAAAUCCUGGAGCUCAACUCCAGAACUGCCUUCGAUACUGAAGAGCUUGAGUCCGGGAGAGGUGAGUGGAACUGCGAGUGUAGAGGUGAAAUUCGUAGAUAUUCGCAAGAACACCAGUGGCGAAGGCGGCUUACUGGUCCGGUACUGACGCUGAGGUGCGAAAGCGUGGGGAGCAAACAGG
rnacentral:rRNA from 1 species